UACGGGGGGGGCAAGCGUUGUUCGGAAUUACUGGGCGUAAAGGGCUCGUAGGCGGCCAACUAAGUCCGACGUGAAAUCCCCAGGCUUAACCUGGGAACUGCGUCGGAUACUGGAUGGCUUGAAUUCGGGAGAGGGAUGCAGAAUUCCUGGUGUAGCGGUGAAAUGCGCAGAUAUCAGGAAGAACACCCGUGGCGAAGGCGGCUCUCUGGUACGUGACUGACGCUGAGACGCGAAAGCGUGGGGAGCAAACAGG
rnacentral:rRNA from 1 species